rnacentral:sRNA from 1 species
AACUACACAUUCGAUUGCUUUCAGAAUUAUCAGAACUACCUAGGUGACGAUACAUAUGCCAUAUGCCAUAUGACAUCCUCCGCUUCCGACAAGACUAUACGGUUCUCUGCGAUAGUGCUCUCGCGCGGGGCUUUGCGCCGAUGUAAAAGGCAUACAUUUGUGACUUCGUUUUAUGAAGCGUGGUAACCUUGAAACAACCUGAAUGCAUCUCCCAUGCGCCUGGGUGUAUAAGACAUAAUAACAAUAAUAGGCUCUGAGGAAAGAAUCAGGGAACGUAUUGGCUGCCAAUAUCUCCUUAACACUUCUCUCCAACACUGCCAGUGUUCAACCCCGCGAACCUCAUCCUGAACCACCAUUUGCACGCUCACAUACCAGUUUGAUACCAUGGUGAUCGAAGAGCACCAUAAGGGACCAACCGUUCUUUUUUUUUGAAGUAAAAUUGACGAGUUAAAAGUUACUUUCUACACUUUUGGUUCUUUACUGUCUCCACGCAAUCAUCAAUUUAUGCUCUAUUCAGCCAGCACUGGAUUAUCCUCUGCUGUUAGUUUUAUGCUGGAUUUUGCUGCGGAGCGAACCACUUCCGGCUCCAGUUCAGUUAUCUUAACCAAGACUGGGAUACGAAACCCAUUGAGCAUUACUUGAUUGCAGAUAAUGGCAUUUCCAAGUAGAC